rnacentral:rRNA from 1 species
UUCCGGUUGAUCCCGCCGGACCUGACUGCUAUCGGAUUGAUACUAAGCCAUGCGAGUCUUUGUAGUAAUACAAGGCAGACGGCUCAGUAACGCGUAGUCAAUCUACCCUAUGGACGGGGAUAACCUCGGGAAACUGAGAAUAAUACCCGAUAGAACAUUAUGCCUGGAAUGGUUUAUGUUCCAAAUGAUUUAUCGCCGUAGGAUGGGACUGCGGCCUAUCAGUUUGUUGGUGAGGUAAUGGCCCACCAAGACUAUUACAGGUACGGGCUCUGAGAGGAGUGGCCCGGAGAUGGGUACUGAGACACGGACCCAGGCCCUAUGGGGCGCAGCAGGCGAGAAAACUUUGCAAUGUGCGAAAGCACGACAAGGUUAAUCCGAGUGGUUUCUGCUAAAGGAACCUUUUGUCGGUCCUAGAAACACCGAUGAAUAAGGGGUGGGCAAGUUCUGGUGUCAGCCGCCGCGGUAAAACCAGCACCUCAAGUGGUCAGGAUGAUUAUUGGGCCUAAAGCAUCCGUAGCCGGCUCUGUUAGUUUUCGGUUAAAUCUGUACGCUCAACGUACAGGCUGCCGGGAAUACUGCAGAGCUAGGGAGUGGGAGAGGUAGACGGUACUCGGUAGGAAGGGGUAAAAUCCUUUGAUCUAUUGAUGACCCCUGCGGCGAAGCGGGUCUGCCAGAACACGUCCGACGAUGAGGGAUGAAAAGCUGGGCGACCCAACCGGAUUAAAUUACCUAGGGAGACCCAGCUGUAAAUAUGCAAACUC